AGGCAGAUUGAUUUUUAUGUUCACAGAGGAAUCAAGGCGCAGAGAGCCACGGGCAUUGGUGGGAAUCAAGAAACAAUCUCAUUACCUGAGAGAGAUUAUUACUACAGAAGAAUGUCCCCAGAUGCUCUGAAGUCACAGGACUAUGCUAAAAGUCCUCAGACUGGGAAGACAGUUGGCCAUACAGGGUAGCCAAGGAAAACCUGAAUUCCAACUGUUUGCAAAGCCCUGGCCUUCUUUGUUUGCCUGCUUUUAUUUAACUCCUCAUUGGAUGGGAGCCCGCACCAGGUAGUCAGAACAAUUACAAACUAUUUCCUCAUCGACGGAAGGACGGAAAGCUUCCUGGCAGGGGCCAUGAGGUAAUUUAUACAUCACACUUUCAAUGCCUAUCUGGACUUUUACUUCCACACAUGGACACGAGCCAAGAGAAACCGGAAUGCAGCUUCAGAGAUGGAAUGAAACUUUCGGACAUGACCGUGAAGGGCUUAAGGGGCAGAGAAAAGCAUAGCUUGGGAGAACCAAGAAAUACUCAUCCUUGUAGCUUCAAAAAUAGUCGCUUUUUUUAGGGGCUGGAGAGAUGGCUCAGCAGUGGCGAGCAUUUACGGAACGUCUAGAGGAGGUGAGUUCAGUUUCCAGCCCCCACAUAGAAGCUCAUGAUUUCCUGUAACUAUGACUCCAGGGCUUCCAGGGCCUCCUCUGGAGGUGCCGCACUCACAUACACAUACCCAUGUGUAGGCACACAUAUAUUAUUUAACAUAAUGAAAAUAAAUUAUUUAAUUUUUAUUGAA
rnacentral:lncRNA from 1 species